rnacentral:rRNA from 1 species
UGAAUUGCAGAAUUCAGUGAAUCAUCGAAUCUUUGAACGCACAUUGCGCCGCCAGUAUUCUGGCGGGCAUGCCUGUUCGAGCGUCAUUCAACCCUCAAAGUCCCCUGUGGACUCGGUGUUGGGGACCGGCGAGACAGCCGCGGAUCUUCUUCCGCAGCGAGUCGCCGCCCCCCAAAUGACUUGGCGGCCUCGUCGCGGCCCUCCUCUGCGUAGUAUAGCACACCUCGCAACAGGAGCCCGGCGAAUGGCCACUGCCGUAAAACCCCCAACUUUUUCAGAGUUGACCUCGAAUCAGGUAGGAAUACCCGCUGAACUUAA